rnacentral:rRNA from 1 species
GCUUGUCUCAAAGAUUAAGCCAUGCAUGUCUAAGUGUAAAUAAGUCUAUACUGUGAAACUGCGAAUGGCUCAUUAAAUCAGUUAUCGUUUAUUUGAUGAUCUCUUACUACUUGGAUAACCGUAGUAAUUCUAGAGCUAAUACAUGCACAAAAUCCCGACUUACGAAGGGAUGUAUUUAUUAGAUAAAAGGUCGACACGGGCUCUGCCCGUUGCUCUGAUGAUUCAUGAUAACUCGACGGAUCGCACGGCCAUCGUGCUGGCGACGCAUCAUUCAAAUUUCUGCCCUAUCAACUUUCGAUGGUAGGAUAGUGGCCUACUAUGGUGGUGACGGGUGACGGAGAAUUAGGGUUCGAUUCCGGAGAGGGAGCCUGAGAAACGGCUACCACAUCCAAGGAAGGCAGCAGG